GUGUCAGCCGCCGCGGUAACGCCAGCGCCACGAGUGGCAACCACGUUUAUUGGGCCUAAAGCGUCCGUAGCCGGUUAGGCAAAUUUCUUGUGAAAUCGUCAGGCUCAACCUGACGGCGUGCUUGAAACACUACCUAACUUGAGACCGGGAGGAGUCAAAAGUAUUCCUGAGGGAGCGGUAAAAUGUGAUAAUCUCAGGAGGACUAUCUAUGGCGAAGGCAUUUGACCAGAACGGAUCUGACGGUCAGGGACGAAGGCCAGGGGAGCGAUCCGGAUUAGAUACCCGAGUAGUCCUGGCAGUAAACGCUGCGAGCAAGAUGUUGCGCAUCUUCUGAGGAUGUGCAGUGUCGAAGUGAAGACAUUAAGCUCGCCGCCUGGGAAGUACGGUCGUAUGACUGAAACUCAAAUGAAUUGACGG
rnacentral:rRNA from 1 species